GUUGAAAAUUGAGCAAGUUAUGGUUAUUAUAACGUGCAUGCACCGCUACUACUCAAUGUUAUGAGUCAGAGAGCUGACUGUGGCAAGAUGGCCGCCAGUGCGGACAAGAUUGUCCUUUCGCGGGCCUAAGCCCGUCGGAUUUUCUCAACGCAUGCGCGUGGUCGACGUCACUUCCUCCUCUCUCCUUUUCCUAUCCACUUUUCCUUAAACCCCGGAAGCGUGGCGGCCAUGAUAAGAAGCGUCCGAAUUCUCUAAAAGCUAAGGAAAGUAGGAUUAAAGCUUCCUACAUAACCUCCUUUAUCUUAGGAAACACCGAUUUAUCCUUUAGUAAAGACAACAUUUAAAAAAAGGACCCGCUCGUCCGAACAUUCACCGAAACCCACGAUGACUGAAAAGGGACGUAGAGCAUUCACAGACGCUGAAACCCUUGCGUUGAUUAAGGCCAGGGUUAAACUGAACACACUCUUCGGGAGGAAGAGGAAUUCGGCAAAGCUUGGCUGGGAGCAGGUGGUGAAGGAGAUGGGGCUGGAGGGCCAGGUCACUGCCAUGCAGGCUUCAAAAAAAUGGGACAAUUUAAAAACUAAAUACAAGGAGCUGAGGAACCCCCUCAGCAGAUCGUACACAGACAACGUUGAGGCCACUGCAGCCAACUGGCCCUGGUUUGAUGUCAUGCAUGAGGUUCUGGGGGAUGGGCCUAUCAUUCAGCUUCCCACCUUGGUUUCCUCAUGCCCGAUGCCAAAGGUAGAGCAGAUUGAGCCUUCAUCAUCCUCCCUCCAGCCUGCCACUGAUGAUGAGGAGUCUCAGCCCCCCACCAAAAGGAAGCGGGUGGGGCCCCUGUUGACGUUCUUGAGGGAGCAGGCCAAAAAAGAUGAUGCGUUCAAUGCUGCUCUCCUGGAGCAGAAUGAGCGCUUCUUGAGUCUGCUGGGUGAGCUAGUGAAAAACAAUAAAAAAGAGAGUUAAUUUACACAUGAAACUUUACCCGUUGUGUUUAUUGAACAGAUGACAACUCACAAAGUACAAAUACUUUGUUAAUGUACUGAAGUUGUUUUUUCUGGUGUCUAUACUUUACUUCAGUAGCCUAUUUAUUUUUUUGGUGACUUUUUACUUUUACUCCUCUCUUUUUUAAUCAAAUAUCUGUACUUUCUACUCCUUGCAUUUUAAAAAUUAGCCCGUUACUUUUAGGACCUUCAAAGAUGACGUCACAACGUAAAAAAGAUGGGAACCAACAACUGCAAAGCAGGAAAAGAAG
rnacentral:lncRNA from 1 species